UGUGUGUGUAUGUGAGUAUGCAUGUGGGUGUAUGUAUGUGGGUGUAUGUGUACACACACACACACACACACACACACACACACACACACACAC
rnacentral:miRNA from 1 species